CCAGGUGGAUUAAAAGAAAACAACAAAAGAACAUACAGUUAACUAAAUACACUAAAAGCCAAAAAGAGACUGUUUAAUUGCCAUAUUUUUAUUUGUUCACACUGGCAAAUUGUUCACAUUGGCAUUGUUAGUUUCCCUAUUGAAAUUGAAUGCACCACACAGUUCACAUAGCCCCACGUGGGGGGUUGCGUAGUCUAAGCAGCCAAUCAGGAGUCACGCAGGCCACGCUCUGUCUGUCGUCGCGAAAAACGAAGUGCAAGCGCGUUCUUCUUCAGCCCUUUGCAAUUUCAGCCAGAGAAGCAUGGUCAGCUGCGUGUGAAGAGGAAAAGGAAAAAGAGGGGAAAUACUCGAAGUUACGUUGAAAAGAGAAAAGCAAGAGUCGUAGCACAUCCACUGGAGGUCCGGAGCAGUGUGACAGAACAACAGAAGGAAAGUUACGUCGGCUAACUGCUUGCCCUUCAUCUGGAGAGCUAUUACGAAGUUCGACACCAGCGUGCUUCACCUUGAUUUGCACACAGCAACGGUCAGGUUUUUUUUUCUUGAGGACGAACGUGGUCCACAACGAACUUGCUGAAACUGAUGGCGAGCCAAAUACCCUGAAGAAAGUCCAGCACCGAGGAGAUUACCCACGUAUAUGCACCCAUUCACACGCACACUAAACACUUACAUUACAAUACAACGAUCCUUGGAAACAGGUUCACUACAUCAACUCUACAACAAUUACACUUCAAACAACUUUCAUUUCAUUCAAGGGCCCCAACGGACAUUUCUUUUAUUUUCCAGUGUGCACACUACUUUUUUAUUUUUCUUCAACUGUUGUUGUACCUCAUAUCCUGUACAAACAAUUUACUUGGUUCAUUGUGCACAAUAUAAGAGUGGCUACUCAACUGU